GACGAACGCUGGCGGCGUGCUUAACACAUGCAAGUCGAACGGUAAGGCCCUUCGGGUACACGAGUGGCGAACGGGUGAGUAACACGUGGGUGAUCUGCCCUGCACUUCGGGAUAAGCCUGGGAAACUGGGUCUAAUACCGGAUAGGACCAUGGACUUCACGGUUUGUGGUGGAAAGCUUUUGCGGUGUGGGAUGGGCCCGCGGCCUAUCAGCUUGUUGGUGGGGUAAUGGCCUACCAAGGCGACGACGGGUAGCCGGCCUGAGAGGGUGUCCGGCCACACUGGGACUGAGAUAUGGCCCAGACUCCUACGGGAGGCAGCAGUGGGAAUAUUGCACAAUGGGCGCAAGCCUGAUGCAGCGACGCCGCGUGAGGGAUGACGGCCUUCGGUUGUAACCUACUUCAUAGGACGAAGCGCAAGUGACGGUACCGUAUAGAAGAAG
rnacentral:rRNA from 1 species